UGCCUCUCAGGGUCACACGUGGAGAGUUUCCAGUACUCUACAAGUCUCGACUAUGAGAGGGAGAGUCAAGCAGAGACCUGUCCAUUCCAUUCCUAGCUUGGGCAGUGGCUAGUGAAUGGAAAGCCAUCUGCUACAAGA